GUGCCAGCCGCCGCGGUAAUACCGGCAGCUCAAGUGAUGUCCCAUAUUAUUGGGCCUAAAGCGUCCGUAGCCUGCCGUACGGGUCCGUCGGGAAAUCCGCCCGCUUAACGGGCGGACGUCCGGCGGAAACCAUACGGCUUGGGACCAGAGGACCCGAGGGGUACGUCGGGGGUAGGAGUGAAAUCCCGAGAUCCUCGACGGACCGCCGGUGGCGAAAGCGCCUCGGGAAGAUGGAUCCGACGGUCAGGGACGAAAGCGUGGGUCUCGAACCGGAUUAGAAACCCGUGUAGUCC
rnacentral:rRNA from 1 species